CUUGAGUCCAAAAGAGGAGAGAAAUCGCACCCCGAGAAGAAGGCGCGAGCUCGGUGGCUCCAGUCCUGCGGGAGCAGAGGGGACAGCAGACCUGCCCAGGUAGAGGGAGACGACUUCUGAGGUGCUGGAGGCUAUUUCUGGAUUUUGCGCGGCCUGGCGCUGGGUGCCACAGCCGGUGAAUGCGGGAGACCUGCAGCAGACCCGGCGCUGCCGCCAGAACCUGCUCACUACGCUCCACACAGCUCGUCAGGGCCCAACCUGAGCACUCCGCGGGCCUGCGGGGAUGGGGCGGAAAGGCUGGCUGCUGUCUUCGGACCCUGAACCCUCCCCUCUUUUUCUCUUUUCUUCAUGUCUACACAAAGGCAGAAUGGGCAGGCUCACUCGCAGGCCGACGCCACCGACGUGACGCUAGUGAUUUUGGUCGAGUCGUCAGACCACGGCUGCAGAUUCUGCAGGGCGAAGAGCGACGAGUUGUGCACGCACAGAGGGUCAGCGGGCAGCGGCUGUGCCAGGCUCUUCUGGAAGGCCUCCUGCUGCAACUGCAGGAGGAUGCGGUUCGCUUGCUGCCUCUCGGCCUCCCGUUCCUCCGCAGUCUGCCGUCUGCACCGGGAACAAGCCGUUACCUGCCAGGAGCACCGACCCAGCUCCCGCGUGUGCCCAACUCCUGGUGCGUUCCCAGGAGAUAAACUGAACGAGCGCUGCUCGCCUUUGCAGUCCCCAAAUCCAGUUUGGGCCCCUAUAACGCGUUCCCUUCUUUUGAGAGUCCUGACUCCAACAAAGACUGGAAACCCCAAAGCGGAUGGAGCCAAGGUAUCC
rnacentral:lncRNA from 1 species